rnacentral:rRNA from 1 species
AUACGUAGAGAGCAAGCGUUGUCCGGAAUCAUUGGGCGUAAAGGGUACGCAGGCGGUCUAGUAAGUCAGAGGUGAAAUCCACCGGCUCAACCGGUGAACUGCCUUUGAUACUGUUAGACUUGAGGAUAAGAGAAGAAAGCGGAAUUCCUAGUGUAGUGGUGAAAUACGUAGAUAUUAGGAAGAAUACCGAUGGCGAAAGCAGCUUUCUAACUUAUUCCUGACGCUCAGGUACGAAAGCUAGGGUAUCAAACGGGAUUAGAUACCCCGGUAGUCCUAGCCGUAAACGAUGGAUACUAGGUGUUGGGGGUUCGACCCCCUCGGUGCCGCAGUUAACGCAUUAAGUAUCCCGCCUGGGGAUUACGACCGCAAGGUUGAA